AGGGGUAGAGUUGGCAGUAUACAUAUCUGAUCGUGUUCCAGAGAUGUUAAUUGGUGAUCCUGGGAGGUUUCGACAAAUACUCACAAAUCUUAUGGGUAACUCCAUCAAGUUCACUGAGAAAGGACACAUCUUUGUA